UGAAUGACCUGGCAGGGGAAAUACCAUGAUCACCACGGUGGUUUUCCUAGGGGCAGGGGAUAAUCACAUUUCUGGCACAGGGGAGUAGUUGUGGGAAGAUCUUGGCUUUAUGCCCACUUUAUGGAAAAGGAAGACUGCUCUCUAGCUUGCUCCUG
rnacentral:snRNA from 1 species